GAUAAAAUAGUACAAUUAUAAUUAUUUGUAUUAUUUUUUAAAACAAGGGGUUAUAGUGAGAAAUUAGGGACUGUGUUUAAAAUUACCAAACAAAUAAAAAUUCAGGCCCAUCAUAUAAAAACAAUUCAGCCCAAACCACUUUCAGACACACACCAACUCAUGCACAAACACACUCCAGCAUAGUCUGCACACACACAGACACAGACGCCGGCGUCGCUGCCCUCGGCCACCACCAGCCGAGCAAACAGCCAGCGAGGGCUGCUGCCGUCAUUCUGUAGCCGGAGUCGGCUGCUGGCUUUACCACCUCCCUUUCGCCCAUUCCGCCAGCAGACCACCGCGCCGCACUUUUUCCACCUCUAUCUUGGCCGAGCAGCAGCUGUAAGAGCCGCCGCCUUCGGCUCUCCUUUCCCUUGCCCGGUGGCGACUGCCACCACCGCCGCCCCUUUCUCCUUCUCCAACAGCUCGGCACUCCUCUCCUCGCUUCGACUCUCAACGCACAUCAACACCGAGGCCCUCAAACACGAUUGAAGCUUAUUGCAAGAAUUUCAAGGUUUUGAUCCUAGCAUAUUCCGUGUCUUUCUUUCAUUACUGAAAGUUUCGUAGGUAUUUCUUAUUCAGUGAAUUAUUUAGCAAAUUAAAAGUCUGGUUAGUGUGAUUGUAACUGUUCUUACAUGUUGUUGGGCUUGUGUAUCUGAUCAGAAUAAAGAGAAUAGUGUGGAGUGAUGAAGUAGGAGAUGAAACAUUAUGGUACUGUGAUUAUGUACAAGACUGAAACUGAAUAUGUAUAUUGGUGAAUGCUUUUGUUGCUUCUGCUUGUUUUCUUUUGUGGAAGAAAUGAGAAAGUAAAUAAUUUGCUGCA